rnacentral:misc_RNA from 1 species
AGAAUGGGGAUCUGUGAUGCAGUUGCUGUUGCCAAAAUUUUGAAUGCAACACUUGUGAUUCCACAUCUUGAAGUGAAUCCAGUUUGGCAAGACUCAAGCUCAUUUGAGGAGAUAUAUGACGUGGAUCACUUUAUCAAAGUACUGGAGGAUGAAGUCUCAGUAGUCAGGGAAUUGCCUAAAGAAUAUUCAUGGAGCACAAGGGAGUAUUAUGCAGUAGCCAUUCGAGCUACAAGAGUCAAAACUGCACCUGUUCAUGCUUCAGCCAACUGGUAUUUGGAGAAUGUUCUUCCUGUUCUGG